GACGAACGCUGGCGGCGUGCUUAACACAUGCAAGUCGAACGGAAAGGCCCUGCUUUUGUGGGGUGCUCGAGUGGCGAACGGGUGAGUAACACGUGAGUAACCUGCCCUUGACUUUGGGAUAACUUCAGGAAACUGGGGCUAAUACCGGAUAGGAGCUCCUGCCGCAUGGUGGGGGUUGGAAAGUUUCGGCGGUUGGGGAUGGACUCGCGGCUUAUCAGCUUGUUGGUGGGGUAGUGGCUUACCAAGGCUUUGACGGGUAGCCGGCCUGAGAGGGUGACCGGCCACAUUGGGACUGAGAUACGGCCCAGACUCCUACGGGAGGCAGCAGUGGGGAAUAUUGCACAAUGGGCGGAAGCCUGAUGCAGCAACGCCGCGUGCGGGACGACGGCCUUCGGGUUGUAAACCGCUUUCGCCUGUGACGAAGCGUGAGUGACGGUAAUGGGUAAAGAAGCACCGGCUAACUACGUG
rnacentral:rRNA from 1 species